UUGAAAGAGGCGCGAGUAUUAUUAGUAAGAAUUAGUUAUUCAGAUUACUGCUAAUUACUGAAAGGACUACUCGCCGAAGUUUAGAAUAAUUAUCUGAAAUUAUUCUAUGCUGGGCUAGUAGAGAAUAUCUACUAGACUGUCACAAGGUUAUCUUGUGGAGUGCUUGU
rnacentral:ncRNA from 1 species